AUCUGGUCUGAGUGCAGUGGUGUUUGCAACUAAUUGAUCACUCCAGGUACAGAUUUCUUCAUUCCUUUUCCACUCCCCCUGCUUCACUUGACUAGCCUAAA
ensembl:misc_RNA Y_RNA Y RNA